rnacentral:rRNA from 1 species
UGGGGAAUAUUGCACAAUGGGCGCAAGCCUGAUGCAGCCAUGCAGCGUGUAUGAAGAAGGCCUUCGGGUUGUAAAGUACUUUCAGCGGGGAGGAAGGGAGUAAAGUUAAUACCUUUGCUCAUUGACGUUACCCGCAGAAGAAGCACCGGCUAACUCCGUGCCAGCAGCCGCGGUAAUACGGAGGGUGCAAGCGUUAAUCGGAAUUACUGGGCGUAAAGCGCACGCAGGCGGUCUGUCAAGUCGGAUGUGAAAUCCCCGGGCUCAACCUGGGAACUGCAUUCGAAACUGGCAGGCUAGAGUCUUGUAGAGGGGGGUAGAAUUCCAGGUGUAGCGGUGAAAUGCGUAGAGAUCUGGAGGAAUACCGGUGGCGAAGGCGGCCCCCUGGACAAAGACUGACGCUCAGGUGCGAAAGCGUGGGGAGCAAACAGG